rnacentral:rRNA from 1 species
GAACGGGUUAAAGCUUGCUUUAACUGUCAGCUAAGUGGCGCACGGGUGAGUAAUGUAUAGUUAACCUGCCCUAGAGAGGGGGAUAAUUGAUGGAAACGUCUUGUAAGACCCCAUAUGCCUUUAUCACAUAAGUGAGCAAGGGAAAUAUUUAUAGCUCUAGGAUGGGACUGUAUUGUAUCAGCUAGUUGGUGAGGUAAUGGCUCACCAAGGCAAUGACGCAUAACUGGUUUGAGAGGAUGAUCAGUCACACUGGAACUGAGACACGGUCCAGACUCCUACGGGAGGCAGCAGUGGGGAAUAUUGCACAAUGGGGGAAACCCUGAUGCAGCAACGCCGCGUGGAGGAUGACACUUUUCGGAGCGUAAACUCCUUUUAUAUCCCAAGAUAAUGACGGUAGGAUAUGAAUAAGCACCGGCUAACUCCGUGCCAGCAGCCGCGGUAAUACGGGGGGUGCAAGCGUUACUCGGAAUCACUGGGCGUAAAGAGCGUGUAGGGCGGGUUUGUAAGUUGGGAAGUGAAAUCCUAUGGCUCAACCAUAGAACUGCUUCCAAAACUGCUUACCUAGAAUAU